rnacentral:rRNA from 1 species
UACGUAGGUGGCAAGCGUUGUCCGGAUUUACUGGGCGUAAAGGGCGUGCAGGCGGUCUGUUAAGUUCAGGGUGAAAGCUCCCGGCUCAACUGGGAGAGGUCCUUGGAUACUGGCAGACUUGAGGGAGGUGGAGGAGAGUGGAAUUCCCGGUGUAGUGGUGAUAUGCGUAGAUAUCGGGAGGAACACCAGUGGCGAAGGCGGCUCUCUGGGCCUUUCCUGACGCUGAGACGCGAAAGCGUGGGGAGCGAACCGG